CUCUCUAAAACAUUAUUCCCUACCGUUUCUUUGCCUUCUCUCUAGAUCUUCUCUCAGUUGAGCUGUCGGUUUGAUGAUUAGGAGCUGCCUAGACGAUUUUGACGUCAAGGACAAGAAUCCAGACCAAUAAAUUCCUUGAUUUGAGUCGGUGUUUCUAGAGUUUUCUUGCGGUGCAAGGCAUGGUUGGAGUAAUUUUGUGAGCUGGGCAGUUUACCUUUGAGAGGGAGAUGAGGUUUCCCUGGAGCAGGCGUUGGACGGUGCUGAUGUUGCAAAGUAGCUAGUGAUAGAAUAAGACUAUACAUAACUU